rnacentral:rRNA from 1 species
UGGGGAAUCUUCCGCAAUGGACGAAAGUCUGACGGAGCAACGCCGCGUGAGUGAAGAAGGUUUUCGGAUCGUAAAGCUCUGUUUUCAGGGACGAACGGCAGGUAUAUGAAUAAUAUAUUUGCAUGACGGUACCUGAGGAGGAAGCCACGGCUAACUACGUGCCAGCAGCCGCGGUAAUACGUAGGUGGCAAGCGUUGUCCGGAAUUAUUGGGCGUAAAGGGCGUGUAGGCGGGAUAAUAAGUCUGUUGUAAAAGUGCGGGGCUCAACCCCGUAAGGUCAAUGGAAACUGUUAUUCUUGAGUGCAGGAGAGGAAAGUGGAAUUCCCAGUGUAGCGGUGAAAUGCGUAGAUAUUGGGAGGAACACCAGUGGCGAAGGCGACUUUCUGGACUGUGUCUGACGCUGAGGCGCGAAAGCCAGGGGAGCGAACG